GGCAAGGCCUGUCGACUUCCUUAGAAAGACAUGACGCUUCAUAAUUGCGCAUGUGUGGUCUGACCUUCUGGAAAUAGAUACCAGUUAUUAAUAUAAAAAUAUUUUGUUACAGCAACAUUGCUCCUAUCUAACUUUGUCUAUUCAACUUUGGGAACAAAUAAAAUCAUUUUUAUCAAAUAUUUUGAUUUAUGUCACACUACCAUAUGUAAAUUAUUAUUAUUUUAUAUAAAUUAUUACCUAUUUCAGUUUGUCUUAGUCUAUGUUCAUAAAAUCUAUGGAGGUCAGAGGCACAUAUACCCUCCAUAAAGCCUUGCACUUGGGUCUGGCCGGUUAGAACAUAGACAAAAGUCUGCAAUGUCAAUGCUGUCAAAGUCAUUGACGCAAAACUAUUUUUAUUUUCAAAACUAUCAGUUUUCAUAUAAAAUGAUUAAAUAAUGAUUUAUGUUGUUGAAAUAGAUUUAUUGAUUAAUUUUUAAAAUUAAAAAUCCACCGCACAGUAUCUCCGCUCAGACUCGGUUAAAAUUUAAUCCAUUGUACUAAACUAAGAAACAACAAUUAUUUCAAGAGGGUGAACGUGAGCAAAAAAUCCUUGGGCGUCAUAUCAUUUCCUUGGAAAGGCUCAAAAUCAAAAGGCACGGAUCCGCCACAUAAUUGUGACUAGUUGUAGUUUCCCGGUGACCAUCAACAAGACCGCUGCACUGAGCUGUGGAGCAGAAAGUGUCCGACAAUCGGAUAGAUGUAAUAACAACUUUGUCUGUCAUAUAUUCAUGUAAUUUUUAGUUUUUUGGGCUGAUAUAUGUGAUAUGAUUACAAGUUACACUAAUUGCAAUUGUGGAGUAAAAUCAGAUGUGCCAAAGAUCAUGUUUUAGAUAUAUAAAAAGCUAUAUUAAAUGCAAUAAAUAGUAUAUGUAUAUAUAUAAAA